rnacentral:rRNA from 1 species
AGUGAACGCUGGCGGUAGGCCUAACACAUGCAAGUCGAACGGCAGCACAGUAAGAGCUUGCUCUUACGGGUGGCGAGUGGCGGACGGGUGAGGAAUACAUCGGAAUCUACUUUUUCGUGGGGGAUAACGUAGGGAAACUUACGCUAAUACCGCAUACGACCUACGGGUGAAAGCAGGGGAUCUUCGGACCUUGCGCGAUUGAAUGAGCCGAUGUCGGAUUAGCUAGUUGGCGGGGUAAAGGCCCACCAAGGCGACGAUCCGUAGCUGGUCUGAGAGGAUGAUCAGCCACACUGGAACUGAGACACGGUCCAGACUCCUACGGGAGGCAGCAGUGGGGAAUAUUGGACAAUGGGCGCAAGCCUGAUCCAGCAUACCGCGUGGGUGAAGAAGGCCUUCGGGUUGUAAAGCCCUUUUGUUGGGAAAGAAAAGCAGCAGGUUAAUACCCCGCUGUUCUGACGGUACCCAAAGAAUAAGCACCGGCUAACUUCGUG